AACACGUGGGUAACCUGCCCUUAAGUGGGGGAUAACAUUUGGAAACAGAUGCUAAUACCGCAUAGAUCCAAGAACCGCAGGGUUCUUGGCUGAAAGAUGGCGUAAGCUAUCGCUUUUGGAUGGACCCGCGGCGUAUUAGCUAGUUGGUGAGGUAAUGGCUCACCAAGGCGAUGAUACGUAGCCGAACUGAGAGGUUGAUCGGCCACAUUGGGACUGAGACACGGCCCAAACUCCUACGGGAGGCAGCAGUAGGGAAUCUUCCACAAUGGACGCAAGUCUGAUGGAGCAACGCCGCGUGAGUGAAGAAGGCUUUCGGGUCGUAAAACUCUGUUGUUGGAGAAGAAUGGUCGGCAGAGUAACUGUUGUCGGCGUGACGGUAUCCAACCAGAAAGCCACGGCUAACUACGUGCCAGCAGCCGCGGUAAUACGUAGGUGGCAAGCGUUAUCCGGAUUUAUUGGGCGUAAAGCGAGCGCAGGCGGUUUUUUAAGUCUGAUGUGAAAGCCCUCGGCUUAACCGAGGAAGCGCAUCGGAAACUGGGAAACUUGAGUGCAGAAGAGGACAGUGGAACUCCAUGUGUAGCGGUGAAAUGCGUAGAUAUAUGGAAGAACACCAGUGGCGAAGGCGGCUGUCUGGUCUGUAACUGACGCUGAGGCUCGAAAGCAUGGGUAGCGAACAGGAUUAGAUACCCUGGUAGUCCAUGCCGUAAACGAUGAAUGCUAGGUGUUGGGAGGGUUUCCGCCCUUCAGUGCCGCAGCUAACGCAUUAAGCAUUCCGCCUGGGGAGUACGACCGCAAGGUUGAAACUCAAAGGAAUUGACGGGGGCCCGCACAAGCGGUGGAGCAUGUGGGUUUAAUUCGAAGCAACGCGAAGAACCUUACCAGGUCUUGACAUCUUUUGAUCACCUGAGAGAUCAGGUUUCCCCUUCGGGGGCAAAAUGACAGGUGGGGCAAGGGUUGUCGUCACCUCCUGUCCUGAGAAAGUUUGGGGUUAAUUCCCCCCACCAAGCGCACCCCUUAUUACUAAUUUGCCCCCAUUUAAUUUGGGCCCUCUUCUUAAAAAUGCCGGUGGAAAACCCGAAGAAAGGGGGGGGGAGGGGGGGGCAAAAAUCUUUUUUCCCCCCUUUUUAUAUUGGGGGGUCACCACCUCCUC
rnacentral:rRNA from 1 species